rnacentral:rRNA from 1 species
GGACGAACGCUGGCGGCAUGCCUAAUACAUGCAAGUCGAACGCUGAAGCACUCUGCUUGCAGAGUGCGGAUGAGUGGCGACCGGGUGAGUAACACGUGGGAAAUCUGCCUAUAAGAGGGGGAUAACAUUCGGAAACGGAUGCUAAUACCGCAUAUAUUCUUGGACCGCCUGGUCCUUGAAAGAAAGACGGCUUUGCUGUCGCUUAUAGAUGAUCCCGCGGCGUAUUAGUUAGUUGGUGGGGUAAAGGCCUACCAAGACAAUGAUACGUAGCCGACCUGAGAGGGUGAUCGGCCACACUGGGACUGAGACACGGCCCAGACUCCUACGGGAGGCAGCAGUAGGGAAUCUUCCACAAUGGGCGAAAGCCUGAUGGAGCAAUGCCGCGUGAAUGAAGAAGGUCUUCGGAUCGUAAAGUUCUGUUAUUAGAGAAGAACAAGUCAAGGAGUAACUGUCUUGACUUUGACGGUACCUAACCAGAAAGUCACGGCUAACUACGUG